UGCGAACUGCAGGACUUGGGUGGAUGAGAGGAAAGUGGAAUUCCUAGUGUAGCGGUGAAAUGCGUAAAUCUUAGGAGGAACAUCAGUGGGGAAGGCGACUUUCUGGACUGAAACUGACACUGAUGUACUAAAGCGUGGGUAGUGAACAGGAUUAGAUACCCUGGUAGUCCACGCCGUAAACGAUGAGCACUAGGUGUCGGGGUCGCAAGGCUUCGGUGCCGCAUUUAACGCAUUAAGUGCUCCGCCUGGGGAGUACGCACGACAAGUGUGAAACUCAAAGGAAUUGACGGGGACCCGCACAAGCAGCGGAGCAUGUGGUUUAAUUCCAAGCAACGCCAAGAACCUUACCAGGUCUUGACAUCCAGUAAAGCCUGUAUAGAUACAGAGUCCCUUCCGGGGUACUGAUACAGGUGGUGCAUGGUUGUCGUCAGCUCGUGUCGUGAGAUGUUGGGGUUAAGUCCCGCAUCGAGCGCAAC
rnacentral:rRNA from 1 species